CAGGCUCUGAUCUAAAGCUUCGGAGCAGAAGGGAGAUCCGGGUUCGCUGCGCUGUCUUUCCUGCGCUGACAUCAUCAGACGGGAGAGUUUUCAGCACAAGAAGCCAGUUGACUGGGAACGGUGGUGAAAUACACUCGCUGAGCACUUUAUUAGGGACACCUGUACAGCUAAAUCUGUAAAAUCAUGCAGAUAGGGGUGAGGAGCUUCAGUUAAUUCACAUCAACCAUCAGAAUGGGGAAAAAAUCGGAUCUCAGUGAUUACGACCGUGGCAUGAUUGUUGGUGCCAGACAAGGUGGUUUGAGUAUUUCUGUAACUGCUAAGCUCCUGGGAUUUUCACGCACAACAGUCUCUAGAGUUUACUCAGAAUGGUGCCAAGAACAAAAAACGUCCAGUAAGCGGCAGCUCUGUGGACGGAAACGCCUUGUUGAUGAGAGAGGACAACGGAGGCUGGACAAACUGGUUAGAGCUGACAGAACGGCUACGGUAGCUCAGAUAACCACCCUGUACAAUUGUGGUGCACAGAAAAGCAUCUCUGAAUUCACAACACGUCGAACCUUGAGGUUGAUGGGCUACAACAAGAGAAGACCACAUACAGUCCCACUUCUGUCAGGGAACAAAAAGAAAGAUGAGGCCGAGGCUGAGGCAGAGGGUGAGGCCGAGGUGGACACAGGCUCACCAAAACAGGACAGUUGAAGACUGGAAAAACGUAACCUUGUCUGAUUAAUCUAGAUGAUGGUAGGUUCAGAAUUUGAACAGCUUGAAUCCAUGGAGCCAACCUGCCUUGUGUCAACAAUCACUGAACAUGUGCAUCCCUCUAUGGCCACAAUUUACCCAUCUUAUAACGGUUACUUCCAGCAUGAUAAUGUCACCAUAUCACAAAGCAAAAGUGGUCUCAAACUGGUUUCAUGAACAUGACAAUGAGUUCACUGUUCUUCAGUGGCCUUCCCAGUCACCGGAUCAGAAUCCAUCUUUUGGGAUGUGGUAGAACGGGAGAUUCGCAGGAUAAAUGUGAAGCUGACAAAUCUGCAGAUAUUGAGUGAUGUCAACAUGGACCAGAAUCUCAAAGGAAUGUUUCCAACAUCUUGUGGAUACAACGUCAUGAAGAACUGAGGCUGUUUUGGGAGCAAAUGGAGACCCUAACCAGAAUUAUUAUUAUGUUCCUAAUAAAGUGCUCAGUGAGGACCAAGUGUUGCAUUCUGGCAGAGAUCCCAAACCCUACAGUAAUCAUGUUUUGACGGAAGACAUCGUAUUUUAGGAAGUUACUCCAGACAACAGUCUCAUUUCCAGACAACGCUUGGCCAAAAGAAGCAGAUAUCCUCACUGGAGAAGUUUUUGCCUGCUCAAAUGGCACCGAAAGCUUAGGGGGUUACAGCCUCCUGAGUGUCAAAACUCGCACUGUGUACACCCGGACUUACUCGUGAUUUGUGUGAAAGUGAAUGAAAAUCAUUGUUGUUUUACCACCUCUUGUGUUAAUUUCACCAGAAAAUUGUCACGAUACAUACAACAAGCCACGUCAUUUUUUUUGUUGUUGCAAAAAUGUUGGUAUAGAAACUUUAUUCUAUGAUGCCAUGUUACAGGAUUCUGCAUCUCACAGUGCAAUGUGCUUGAGUGUGAACCUGGAAGUAGCUAUAUAUCAGCCACAAUUAAGCUCACACAAAAAUUUAAGUUUUGUCAUUUACUUUCCAUGUUUUUUCCAAACCCAUAUGACCUUUAAGGGUUACUGAGGCUAAAAUGAUGCCGAGCAUCUUGUGUUCUAUUGAUGGGUUUGGAACAACAUGAGAGUGAGUAAAUGACAGAAUUAAAAUUUUUGUAUGCGUGAUCCCUUUCUUGACUGAAAGAGUUAGUGAAAUUACGUUUUAUAAUAAGUGGACACCACUUGCGACACAUUGCUUGAAAUGUUUGUUGCAUAAUCCAUUCUGUUUUGCAUACUAUUUUUUUAAAGGGUAACUAAACCCUAAACCAACUUUUUUUAGUUAAUGAUCUGUAAGCAUGGGACUUUAUUAGUACUGGUCAUUGAUUCAAGCAAUUUUUUUGACAUUUGUGUAUAAAGUGUUUUAAUUCUACAAUAUAUGGUGUAAAAACGUCUGAGUGCUGCCCUCUUCAGGUUGAACGGUGGCUACUGCAGUUGAAUUUUCCUAUUGGCUGUUGCGGUACUUCGUGACGUAAGCGGUGACAGCUGACGUAAGCAGGUUCCAGCUCACCACGCCAGAUUCAUGUACAUGUCGUCUUGCGACCGUGUGAGGAAUAAUAAUUACAUAGAGUCCCUCUAUCCCCGCCGGGGUCUGCCCACUUUUCCAGCAUUUUCAAAUAUUUCUAGUGGGUGGAGUCAGACUCUGAGCAGGUGUUUAGUUACCCUUUAAAUGUAGUACUAUGAAGUGUGCAUACUAAUUGUAUCCAAUACACAACACCGUGUGCUCUGUUCACUGCACAUUUCAGCUUUUGUAGAAGGUCAUCAUAAUAUUGGCAUCCAUGUUAUAAUAUGCAGAGUAUACAUACUAAAUACUGCAGAAAUAGUACUAGCAUGGUAGUAUCAAUGACUGGUGCAUCUAAACAUUAAACCAAUUAAUGGCUUUAUUAUUUCAUCAGUUUGGUGGUGAGUUUAAAUGUUCAAGUAAGUGGCAUGCCUUAGGAUCAAUUCGAUUUCGUGAUUUGUCAAAGGUGAAAAUGUCUUGCAUGUGUUGUUCUUUGUAAAUAUUACUGAUUGCAUUUGGUAUAGCCUAUAAUGUACUUUGUAUGCAAUGCUUUAAUGAAACUAUAGAAUAAUUUGGUUGUUGCAUUUAUAAUUUUGCUGUCAUGAUGUGAAAUAAAACAUUGCUUU